AACUACUGAAAAUCACUCCUGGCUUUGGCUGUAGCCAGGAGUGAGAGGCGGUGCCCAGAGCCAGCAGGAGCCUCAGCUCACCACCCACUGUCUCGUGUGCAGGGGUGAAACCCAGCUGGAAAAAAA